AACGAACGCUGGCGGCAGGCCUAACACAUGCAAGUCGAGCGAGGACUUCGGUCCUAGCGGCGGACGGGUGAGUAACGCGUGGGAACGUGCCCUUUGCUUCGGAAUAGCCCUGGGAAACUGGGAGUAAUACCGGAUGAGCCCUUUGGGGGAAAGAUUUAUCGGCGAAGGAUCGGCCCGCGUUGGAUUAGGUAGUUGGUGGGGUAAUGGCCUACCAAGCCGACGAUCCAUAGCUGGUUUGAGAGGAUGAUCAGCCACACUGGGACUGAGACACGGCCCAGACUCCUACGGGAGGCAGCAGUGGGGAAUCUUAGACAAUGGGGGAAACCCUGAUCUAGCCAUGCCGCGUGAGCGAUGAAGGCCUUAGGGUUGUAAAGCUCUUUCAGCUGGGAAGAUAAUGACGGUACCAGCAGAAGAAGCCCCGGCUAACUCCGUA
rnacentral:rRNA from 1 species